rnacentral:lncRNA from 1 species
GUUGAGAAAAUAAAAUAUUGUUUGGUGAAGGAUCAUAACCACCAAAUCAUGAUCUAGAGAAGAAGUGCUGGAGUAAGACCCGCCAUAUGGAGGAGUAGAAAUUCGGACACGAGGUGCUAUUGAAUAGUAGAGUUGUUGGGAGUCAUCACAAGAUCAAGCUGACCGAGUUGUAUUGGUUCAAAACUGAUGAUGGAUUUAUGUUUUGUUUGAUAUAGGAUGAAAAGCUUGAAGAAAAGAAA